rnacentral:rRNA from 1 species
CCUACGGGGUGCAGCAGUGAGGAAUAUUGGUCAAUGGCCGCAGGGCUGAACCAGCCAAGUCGCGUGAGGGAUGACGGUCCUAUGGAUUGUAAACCUCUUUUGUCAGGGAGCAAAGGGCGCCACGUGUGGCGCUUUGCGAGUACCUGAAGAAAAAGCAUCGGCUAACUCCGUGCCAGCAGCCGCGGUAAUACGGAGGAUGCGAGCGUUAUCCGGAUUUAUUGGGUUUAAAGGGUGCGCAGGCGGAAUGUCAAGUCAGCGGUAAAAUUUCGGGGCUCAACCCCGUCGUGCCGUUGAAACUGGCGAUCUUGAGUGAGCGAGAAGUAUGCGGAAUGCGUGGUGUAGCGGUGAAAUGCAUAGAUAUCACGCAGAACUCCGAUUGCGAAGGCAGCAUACCGGCGCUCAACUGACGCUCAUGCACGAAAGCGUGGGUAUCGAACAGGAUUAGAUACCCCUGUAGUC